rnacentral:lncRNA from 1 species
CAGCACGAGCUCCUCCUCUUAGCCGUGCAGGCAUCCGAAACCACGCGCACGUUGCCCGUUACGCACACCGUGAAGGUGGGGAGAGCUCA